CCUCAACGACCGUACCGCAAACCGACACUGGUGCGCGAGAUGAGUAUUCUAAGGCGCUUGAGAGAACUCAGGAGAAGGAACUCGGCAAAUUGACACCGUAACUUCGGAAGAAGGUGUGCCCUAUUAGUGUGAAGUGAACAACGGAGCAUGAAUGGGUUGCAAAAAAUCGGUGGCUGCGACUGUUUAUUAAAAACACAGCACUCUGCAAACACGAAAGUGGACGUAUAGGGUGUGACGCCUGCCCGGUGCUGGAAGAUUAAAUGAUGGGGUGCAAGCUCUUGAUUGAAGUCCCAGUAAACGGCGGCCGUAACAAUAACGGUCCUAAGGUAGCGAAAUUCCUUGUCGGGUAAGUUCCGACCUGCACGAAUGGCGUAACGAUGGCCACACUGUCUCCUCCUGAGACUCAGCGAAGUUGAAAUGUUUGUGAUGAUGCAAUCUCCCCGCGGAAAGACGGAAAGACCCCAUGAACCUUUACUGUAGCUUUGUAUUGGACUUUGAACAGAUCUGUGUAGGAUAGGUGGGAGGCUUUGAAGCAGGGUCGCUAGAUCUUGUGGAGCCAACGUUGAAAUACCACCCUGGUGUGUUUGAGGUUCUAACCUAGGUCCAUUAUCUGGAUCGGGGACAGUGCAUGGUAGGCAGUUUGACUGGGGCGGUCUCCUCCCAAAGCGUAACGGAGGAGUUCGAAGGUACGCUAGUUACGGUCGGACAUCGUGACGAUAGUGCAAUGGCAUAAGCGUGCUUAACUGCGAGACUGACAAGUCGAGCAGAUGCGAAAGCAGGACAUAGUGAUCCGGUGGUUCUGUAUGGAAGGGCCAUCGCUCAACGGAUAAAAGGUACUCUGGGGAUAACAGGCUGAUACCGCCCAAGAGUUCAUAUCGACGGCGGUGUUUGGCACCUCGAUGUCGGCUCAUCUCAUCCUGGGGCUGUAGCCGGUCCCAAGGGUAUGGCUGUUCGCCAUUUAAAGAGGUACGUGAGCUGGGUUUAAAACGUCGUGAGACAGUUUGGUCCCUAUCUUCCGUGGGCGCUGCAGAUUUGAGGAAGCCUGCUCCUAGUACGAGAGGACCGGAGUGGACACACCUCUGGUGUAUCGGUUGUCACGCCAGUGGCAUUGCCGAGUAGCUAAGUGUGGAAGAGAUAACCGCUGAAAGCAUCUAAGCGGGAAACUCGUUUCAAGAUGAGAUCUGCCGGGGCCUUGAGCCCCCUGAAGAGUCGUUCAAGACCAGGACGUUGAUAGGUCAGGUGUGGAAGCGCAGUAAUGCGUUAAGCUAACUGAUACUAAUUGCUCGUGCGGCUUGACCAA
rnacentral:rRNA from 1 species